UACAGAGGUCCCGAGCGUUGUUCGGAUUCACUGGGCGUAAAGGGUGCGCAGGUGGUCGGGUAAGUCUGAUGUGAAAUCCCGCAGCUUAACUGCGGAAUGGCAUUGGAUACUAUUCGGCUAGGAGGGUUGGAGGGGGGACUGGAAGUUCUCGGUGUAGCGGUGAAAUGCGUAGAUAUCGAGAGGAACACCUGCGGCGAAGGCGGGUUGCUGGGCUGAUACUGACGCUGAUGCGCGAAAGCCAGGGAGGCGAACGGG
rnacentral:rRNA from 1 species